rnacentral:tRNA from 1 species
CUGGGGUUGUGGCUCAGUGGUAGAGAGGUUGCCUAGCAUGUACGGGGUCCUAAGUUCGAUCCUGAGGUCCUAGG